ACUCAUUAAUGCUGGGAAACAGAGACUGACUUGUGGGGGGGAGAAUAAUGCAGGGAGGAGGUGGGCGAGUCAAAGAUGUCAUUUAGAUAUUUCAGUGUGAUUCGAUUGUGUUGCAUUAUUAUAGGCCGCAGAAUAAAUAUUAAUGUGAAUUCAACUAAAAGCUGCAAUAGUUUGACUAAUGAGCUACGAAAUGCAUAUUUUCAACAGUGAAAUACCACAGAAUUUGUAGCAGAGAAAUGUUUUACUUUGAAUUGUGUUUCUUAGUUCAUAGGAGUUGAGUUCAAAAAUCGAAACAAAAACUCUGAGCGUAAAAGUUAAAUACAAAAUGAAUAAAUGAAUAAAUGACUGAGCAUGUAGGCUUUUUGUUCCUGUGGUAUUCUGGGCAGAUUAGGUGCUUUGACCAGAUGACUCAUAGAACUGACAGCUGUUGAAGGUGAAUCUCAAUCUACCAGAAAUUACACUAUGUGUGAGAUAGCUCCUGCGCAUUCAUUUAAUGAAGCAAUAGGAGAAGAUAUUUAUGUCUCACUCACUGUUUUUAUUUAUCAGAUAGUUGAAUAAGCAUACAGAGCUCUGGAUCAAACUUCUUACCCUAGCACCAACAAAGUUAAUGUCAGGGCGUGAAGUCUGACUGACUGCCUCGCCCUGAUCCAGUGUACUUAUACUAUUACAUGAGAAUGUGCACAGAAUGUGUUGCAGCUAGCUGAUUGGCCCCUCCAUGUCCUUGAGCCUUCUUCCACCAUCUCGUAGGUGCAGAGACUUGCCACUCUGCACCCUCAGUUUCUCCCUCCUGCAGAUACCUGCUUGUGACAGAGAAAUACACAAACCACCAAAUCCUGUCUCCACUUACACUUUCUCAUGCUGCAAUUGUUUAUCAAUUGUGUUGAUUAUGCCUUAAGAUAAUAAUGUGAGAUUAAGAUAAUAAUAAAAGGUGAGGAGAGUAACCCCAAAUUAUCAAAUUAUGAAAUAAUGUGCGAUUAAUAUAAGAGGUGCAGAGAAUAAUACUCGAUAAUCUAAAUAUGAAUUAAAGAUAUAUGUAAAAAAAAAAAAAAAAAAAAA